AAUUUCGACUUUCAAAGUCAUAAUUUCGACUUUCAAAGUCAUAAUUAUGAGAUACCGGAGCAGUUGGAGACAAGCCUCCUUAGAAUAACAGCGUGCUUCAGCUCCCAGUUAAAUAUGAUCCUAAAUCCAAGGAUGCCUACAAAAGAGACAGAAGAGGUUCCUUUGACCUGAACCUAAACCUAAACAGAGGAUGGAUGAGAUAUACGACUUCUUAAAAUCACGGGAUGUUUCAGAGGAAGUCAUAUAAAGACUGCAAAAGAAUAAG